AUGAUGAGAAAAGUUGUUAUGGACAGUGGUGCAAAGUACAUAGCAUUGGGAAGGCCUGCUCUCCCCGUGAGUUUCCUAUUGCCAAAGUAUUCCAAAGAGAAGCAUUAUGUAUCUAAGAAAAGAAAAGAGGCGAAACAUCCCAGAGGAUGGCGUGUGAACACAGGAGCACCCUGUGGGAAGAGUAGGGAAGCUGAAAUGAUCUCCUGCCAUUUCAGAAGAUGGAGGAAUGUGGCUGGAGAGGAAAAUGGGCAGGAGGAUUCACGAGACUCUGUCAUGGCAGCAGAGCCUGCAUGCUCGUGUUGGCCAUUUCUCAGAUGGAGAAUAUGCCACGGAGAGGUUCCCUUUAGCAAGAGAGGCAGAGGCUCCCUUUCUCAGGUCUUUCAAGGUGCUCUCUGCCGUCCUUCAAAACGUUUACCCGGGAGGAUGGGCCAAGAGAAGCUCCAUCCGUGCUUCAUCCCACCCCCACCCCUUGACUCUCAGCCCAUGUCCAGUCAGGUGAGGUGCCCAGAGUACCUCCCGAGCAGCACCACCGCCUUGCUGACAGUGACUGUGUGUCCCCUAGCAACCCUCGAUGAUGUUGUGGAGGCCGGCGGGAGUGAGAAGACGGAGGAAGAGGCCCUGGCUGGGGCAAAUGAGGAGGAGGUGGGGCCGGGAACUGAGAAGGUGCAGGAGGAGGCUGCCUGCAUUGACGAGGCAGAGGAGGAGGCAGGCCCAUCCCUUGAAAAUGACGAGGAGUCCCCAGCCAGCGACCUGGUUGAGCAGGAAGACCAGCUUGCCCCCAAGGUGGACGGGAUGGACGAUGAAAGCCGUAAGUAUUCUGGAACCCGGCUCUGCUGAGGAGAAGUCCAGGUGUUGAGGAAGGGCGGGGGGUGCUUUCCUGCCCCUUUGGUUGCAGAGACACCCUGAUUCUGGGUUCCUCCUGGGAAAGGGGGUGAAGGAUGGGGUGAAAGAGACUGACUUCCCACAAAAGGGCCAUCCCAAGUCCUCGGGUCCCUGGAGGAAAGGAGGCUCUUUGUAUGGUGGGGGUAGGUGUCCGGGAACAUUGGGGGGUGUGCGUGUGAGGGCCUGUUGGUGUGAUUGUGAACCAGUGUGAGUGGGUGUGUUUUGUGGGGAGUCACUUGUGCCUUAGCACCACAUAGCUGUCCAGUUUCUCGUUGAACAGUCUCAUGAUGACCGCAGGCUAACUGUCCAUUCCCUCAUUCUCCCUGCACCCGCUGGGAGCAAGGUUUGGGGAAAAGGCUUUCCUUCCUCUGUUGGUCUUUCGUUUCCUCUUUUCUUCCCCCUCUGCUUGGUGCAGACUUUCAUGCUGUUGUUUCAAACAUGUGCCAUGAACUCGAGCCUCUUGAGGUUGUAAGUGUCCCGAGGAGUGUUGUGAACGCUGUGCUCCCCCCGCACCUCCUGCCCACUCGGGGCAGCCACCCUUCCAGCCUCUGCUCAGGAGUGGUCUUUCAGACACCUCAUGUGCAUGACAUCAGAGAGUCUUUGUCCUUCUGUGUCUGACUGGCUUCACUUGAAGUGAUGUCCUCCAGCGAGUUCCUGUUGAGGCUCAGAGCUCAUGAACCUGACCAGUACCUAUGAGGACACGGGUUCGACCCUUGGCCUUGCUCAGUGGGUGAAGAAUCCCGCAUUGCGGUGAGCUGCGGCAGAGGUCCCAGACGCGGCUGGUAUCCAGCUUGGCUGUGGCUGUGGUGUCGGCCGGUGGCCACAGCUCUGAUUUGCCGCCUCGCCUGGGAAUUUCCAUCUGCUGCGGGGGCAGCCCUCAAGCCCAAAAGUGAAUCAGUCAAUAAUGUCCUGGAGUUCUCUGUGCAUUGCUGCAAUGGGUAGGGUUUCCUUCUUCUGUGACAACGGAAUACCUUGCUAUGGUCUGUAUCCACCCCGUUGUCUUUCUCAGUCUGUGUGCCCGUGGACACUGGGGCUCUGUUUCUGUUGGGCUCUUGUGUAUGGCGCUGCCGUGAUCCUGGGAUGGCAGGUCUCUUUACCCGACACUGAUGGAUCUUCCUUUACAUGUCCAUGCAGCAGUGGGAUUGCAGGGUCCUGCCGUGGUGUUUCCCGUCCUGGCUGGCCCCGUUGACAUUCCCUGCUACAGUGUCCAGAAGUCCCAGGCAGUCACAUCUUCCCAAACAUCUGUUCAGGUUUGAAAACACUCCGUGUCCUACCAGGUGGGAGGUGAUACCUCGUGGUGCCUUUGCUUUGCCUUUCCAUUGUGAUAGGCGACUUUGGGAAACAUGCCCUCUGUGUGCUGCUCUCUGUGGUCUUCUUGGACGGUGGGUCUCUCCCAGGCUUCCACUCAUCUACAACUGAGGUAUUUGCCUUUUGAUUCAAUUGAUUUGUAGUUGUUUCCCAUAUAUUCCAAAUAUGAGCCCCUGUUUCAAAUACAAGAUUUACAAAUAUCCUCUUCUGUAGGUUGUCUUUCCAUUCAGUGGAUUGUUAGACACUGUCCUUUCUGUUUGUUUCUAUUUUAAUGGAGGUACAGUGUUGUUUCACUCUCUGCUGUGGAGCAACGUUCCCCAGUCGUGUGUGUCCAUUAACGUAUGUUCCUUUUUUGAUAUUAUUGCCGUCUGAGAUCAGGUCGAUUACAGGAGAUUGGAUCUCGUUCUCCGUGUGCUGCAACAGGAGGACCUUGUUGUCUCUCCAUUCUCAAUGCCGUAGUUGGCAUCAACUGCCCCCAAACUCCCAGUCCGUGCCCUUCACAACCACAAGUCUGUUCUCUGCAUCCGUGGGUUCUGUGGACAGGUUCCUUUGUGCCGUGCUUUAGAUUCCACCUCUAAGUGAGAUCAGGUGGUAUCCGUCUUUCUCUUUGUCACGUACUUCACUUUGCACGAGAAUCUCCCGAUCCAUCCCUAUUGUUUUGAGUGGCAUUGGUUUCUUCUUCGAUUUUCUGGCUGAGUCGUGAAUUCCAUCAUCUAUGUGGACCACAUCGUCAUGAGCCAUUCAUCUGUCUGUGGACAUGAGGUGGCUUCCCUGUCUUGGCUGUUGUGAACAGUGCUGCCAUAAACAUAGAGGGGCAUAUGUCUUUUUCCUGGAUACAUUUGUCCUGAUAUUUCCCAGGGUGCUCGGCUUGCUAGGUCGCAUGCCCUGCUGUGUUCAGUUUUCGCAGGACCCUCCAUGGUGUCUUCCAUAGUGGUUGUACCAGUGUACGUUCGCAUCGGCAAUGCUGGGGCGGGGGAGCCUUUUCUCCACCCGUAUCUGCGACCGACACCAGAGCUCUCGGCAACGCUGGAUCCUUAACCCCCUCAGCGAGGCCAGGGAUCAACCCCGCAAGCUCGUGGUUCCUAGUCGGAUUCGUUUCCGCUGUGCCCUGACGGGAACUCCUGGGUGGUUUCUUUGCUGUUGUUGUUGUGGAGGUGUAUGAGUUUUCUUUAUAUAUGUUUUGGAGGUGAACCUCACGGGCAGUGGUCCCUUUCUCCUCAGUGCUUCUGUAGAGCUGCUGUCCACAGUGUGCCAGCCACUGGCCAGAAGGAGCCAUUUCUGCUUAAUUGAGUUCAGUCAGUAGUUAGGUCUGCCUCUUGCAGUGAACAGAAUAAAGCAGCCUAUGGUUCACUCCCAGGGGCCACCACACAAGUGUGUCCAUGCAGCUGGAAUUUCAGGUGUGUCACCCUGGAGCUGAGGCCUCCAGAUGGACUCGUAGAAGGGAGAUGUGUAAGGCUCCAUCCCUCAGCAGCCCACGAUCUCUGAAGGUUUGCCACUGUGGCCAAUGUUUUAUGGAAGCUUCUGAGGCCGUAGAGCAGAGGGAAGUUCUGAGCACACGGAGGACAAGCCAGGGUGGUGCUGUGUGGCCGCAAACAACCCUAAGUAGGGGAUACGUGUGGGGGACAGGCUCUAACACCUUGAUUCCUUAUGUCUGUGUCUCUGCAGUAUGUUUCAUGGAGAGUCUGAGUGACAGCAACCAUGAUGAAAGUGAUACAG
rnacentral:lncRNA from 9 species